rnacentral:misc_RNA from 1 species
AAAAAAAAAAUUCUGAAAUUGACAUGUCAUCAGAUUCUUCCCCACCUGUUUGCCCGCCAGAUCCAAAACCAAUCAACGCCCAAAAUUCACCGGAUGAAUCCGUCACCACCGCCUGCUUCUCCUCCUCCUCUACUAACACCACCUCUUUACCGCCAGUUGACAUCCCUCUCUCUUGGCCUCCCGAUUCCAAGCUCACCCUCGACUGGAUUCGACAUUUCUCUUCUGCCUUGGA